UGCACAGCCAUAUAACUCUGCAGCCUAAGACUGGUUGCCCACUGAAGCUAAGCAGGGUUGAGCCUGGUCAGUACCUGGAUGGGAGACAUCCUUGGAAAUCUAGGUUGCUGUUGGAA
rnacentral:rRNA from 1 species